AUGUCUUUUGGGAACAAACAAUUUUGAAAUACAUUUCAUAAUCAAAGGCUUAUGGUUACAAAGUACGACCACAUUAACUAAACAACAACAACAACCAACACAACUGGUAAUUAAAAAACUAAUCAACAGCAACAACCAACACAAGUGGACCUUCAACUCCUCUAUUAACUUCACCACUAUGUGCCGAAAACAUACAGAACAUCUUCAUCAUUUUCUAUACGAUCCAGGUAACACAUGUACGUACCAUCGGGGCUUGCAUCAGUCAACGUUAUGUAUGGACAACGAUACUUUACUUUCCUCACCUUCAUAC
rnacentral:lncRNA from 1 species